CUUUCAGACUCGGUUGCCUGCCUGGAAAGUGGAGUCCAGCUGCCACCUACGCCAGAGCUUUGGGUGUAUGGACCCUGAAAUCAAACAUCUGGACGAGUUAGAGAACCAUGGCUCUGUACCUGCUGGUCCUGUGUGUGCAGAACUCCACCGUACCACACCAUUUCCAUCCUUUUGUCAUUUUGCCAAGUUUCGCUGCUCUACUCACAAGUAUUAUCUCAAGCGAGUUUGGUGUACCCAACCGAUAAAGGACACUGUCG